UAACUACUCCCUCUAUCCGGAAAUACUUGUCAUCAAAAUGAAUAAAAGAUAAUGUAUCUACAACUAAAAAUACAUCUAGAUACACCCCCUUUUGUCCAUUUCGAUGACAAGUAUUUCCGAACGAAGGGAGUAUUAG
rfam:Triticum urartu cultivar G1812 contig68973, whole genome shotgun sequence.